rnacentral:rRNA from 1 species
UAGUAGCGGCGAGCGAAGCGGGAAGAGCUCAAAUUUAUAAUCUGGCACCUUCGGUGUCCGAGUUGUAAUCUCUAGAAAUGUUUUCCGCGUUGGACCGCACACAAGUCUGUUGGAAUACAGCGGCAUAGUGGUGAGACCCCCGUAUAUGGUGCGGACGCCCAGCGCUUUGUGAUACAUUUUCGAAGAGUCGAGUUGUUUGGGAAUGCAGCUCAAAUUGGGUGGUAAAUUCCAUCUAAAGCUAAAUAUUGGCGAGAGACCGAUAGCGAACAAGUACCGUGAGGGAAAGAUGAAAAGCACUUUGGAAAGAGAGUUAACAGUACGUGAAAUUGUUGGAAGGGAAACGCUUGAAGUCAGACUUGCUUGCCGAGCAAUCGGUUUGCAGGCCAGCAUCAGUUUUCCGGGAUGGAUAAUGGUAGAGAGAAGGUAGCAGUUUCGGCUGUGUUAUAGCUCUCUGCUGGAUACAUCUUGGGGGACUGAGGAACGCAGUGUGCCUUUUGGCGGGGGUUUCGACCUCUUCACACUUAGGAUGCUGGUGGAAUGGCUUUAAACGACCCGUCUUGA